rnacentral:lncRNA from 1 species
GUGACAACUAUGACCUACUAUUCCACUUCACUUCACUUUCACAAGUGGUUUCUUUAUCUAUGGGUCAAACAAAUAAAAUAAUUGAGUCUAAAAAAUGCUGUGUGCACAAUGUACAAAGCUCGAUCCAUACCGGUGUCUAAACAUCUAUACCCAUACCGGUGUGUCAACAUCUAUACCCAUACCGGUGUUUCAACAUCUAUACCCAUACCGGUGUCUCAACAUCUAUACCCAUAC